GGACAUCAUGAACUCUAAUCAAAUCUUAUAGCAGUAAACCACACAAAACGAAACUCCACAAGUGUCCAAUGCGGAAGACAACACGGUUUCAUAGUUCAAUCUUUGAGCAGGAAAAACAACAAAAAAAGCCAAGGCAUUUCGGCUAGUAGGUUCUUAAGGAGCUCAAGAGUUUAUGCAUGGUCAUCUUGGUAUGUGGACGAGUUAAAAUUAAGAGUCAACAGGAUCUUCAG
rnacentral:misc_RNA from 1 species